rnacentral:rRNA from 1 species
GACGAACGCUGGCGGCGUGCUUAACACAUGCAAGUCGAACGGAAAGGCCCUGCUUUUGUGGGGUGCUCGAGUGGCGAACGGGUGCGUAACACGUGAGUAACCUGCCCUUGACUUUGGGAUAACUUCAGGAAACUGGGGCUAAUACCGGAUAGGAGCUCCUGCUGCAUGGUGGGGGUUGGAAAGUUUCGGCGGUUGGGGAUGGACUCGCGGCUUAUCAGCUUGUUGGUGGGGUAGUGGCUUACCAAGGCUUUGACGGGUAGCCGGCCUGAGAGGGUGACCGGCCACAUUGGGACUGAGAUACGGACCAGACUCCUACGGGAGGCAGCAGUGGGGAAUAUUGCACAAUGGGCGGAAGCCUGAUGCAGCAACGCCGCGUGCGGGAUGACGGCCUUCGGGUUGUAAACCGCUUUCGCCUGUGACGAAGCGUGAGUGACGGUAAUGGGUAAAGAAGCACCGGCUAACUACGUG